GCUGGUGCAAAUGAUGACUCGACUUUUUUCCCCAUCAGAUCGACCUUGUUGAUAUCUUUGAAUUUUUGCCAGUUACUUCUGAUGCACCGGC